AUUGAACGCUGGCGGCGGGCCUAACACAUGCAAGUCGAGCGAGCGGCGGACGGGUGAGUACUGUCUGGGAAACUGCCUGUUGGAGGGGGAUAACUACUGGAAACGGUAGCUAAUACCGCAUACCAUCAGAUGUGCCCAGAUGGGAUUAGCUAGUAGGUGGGGUAAUGGCGCACCUAGGCGACGAUCCCUAGCUGGUCUGCGAGGAUGACCAGCCACACUGGAACUGAGACACGGUCCAGACUCCUACGGGAGGCAGCAGUAGGGAAUAUUGCACAAUGGGCGCAAGCCUGAUGCAGCCAUGCCGCGUGGGUGAAGAAGGUCUUCGGAUUGUAAAGCACUGUCAGUGGGGAGGCGUUACCCGAAGAAGAAGCACCGGCUAACUCCGUGCCAGCAGCCGCGGUAAUAC
rnacentral:rRNA from 1 species